GCUCUGGUGGUCUAAGUGGUUAGAGCAUCCACCUUGAACAUGGGAGGCCAUGGGUUCAAGCCCCCAGCAGAGGA